rnacentral:lncRNA from 1 species
CGGGAACCCGGGCUUGGAGAAGGCGGGGAGGGUGGAGGAGAGCCAGCACUCCCGCAUCUCUGAGAGGCCACUUCGUCCUUGUCCCACGAACUGCAGUUUUUCUCUCUGGGUCAUUCAUCAAUGAAUGUAUUAAGCAUUUAUUGAACACUUGCACUGGCAGAGUGGAUGUGCGGGAUACAGGGCAUCCUCCGCUGAAGACCUUAGUAGAAAAAUGCUGACUUCCCCUAAGCAAGAAGGAAUUCUGGCAGCAAACAGCCAUUGACUUGCAGCCUUUUCCCUAGACCUGCAGCCCGCCUACCUACUCUGAAGAUUUUGGAGUUGCCAAGCCUCCACAACCAUAUAAGCCAAUACCUUUCUCUCUCUUUCUCUCUUUUCUCUCUCUUAAACUGCAAAAAGCAAACAAACAAACAAACAAACAGACAGCAGGUUCAAAAUGGAGUCACUCAUACUAGUGUCACAUAACCAAACCAAAACUUGCGUUAUUUACUUGCAAGAUUUGACCUUGUGAGAAAUCAGAAGAGAGAUAACAGUGGAAUCCAACUAGGCCAACAAGAUUUUGCUUACAUCUGUAGAAGAAAAGUAACCUUGAAAUGACCAACCCUCUAUUUGUUCUUUAUUUCUGCUUUUCUCUUCUUUUUUCUGCCCAUAAAACUCACCCACUCUGUUUAGCUCAUCAGAGUUUCUUUCUACUUUGUAGACUGGAUGCUGCCCAGUUCAUGAAUCGCUAAUAAAAGCCAAUCAGAUAUUUGAAACUCAA